rnacentral:misc_RNA from 1 species
UUGAUUUAUUAAUCGUGUUACUCAGAAGAUACUGUAUAAAACAAGAGUUUGGGGGUCCUCUGGCGGGCCGCCGGAGCGGGCACCGCCGAGGCAACGAUAGGUAUGUUCACAGGGGUUUGGGAGUUGUAAACUCGGUAAUGAUCCCUCCGCUGGUUCACCAACGGAGA